rnacentral:rRNA from 3 species
UUGGACCUGAUAUCAAACAAGACUACCCGC